rnacentral:rRNA from 1 species
UGGGGAAUAUUGCACAAUGGGCGCAAGCCUGAUGCAGCCAUGCCGCGUGUAUGAAGAAGGCCUUCGGGUUGUAAAGUACUUUCAGCGAGGAGGAAGGCGGUGAGGUUAAUAACCUCAUCGAUUGACGUUACUCGCAGAAGAAGCACCGGCUAACUCCGUGCCAGCAGCCGCAGUAAUACGGAGGGUGCAAGCGUUAAUCGGAAUUACUGGGCGUAAAGCGCACGCAGGCGGUCUGUCAAGUCGGAUGUGAAAUCCCCGGGCUCAACCUGGGAACUGCAUUCGAAACUGGCAGGCUAGAGUCUUGUAGAGGGGGGUAGAAUUCCAGGUGUAGCGGUGAAAUGCGUAGAGAUCUGGAGGAAUACCGGUGGCGAAGGCGGCCCCCUGGACAAAGACUGACGCUCAGGUGCGAAAGCGUGGGGAGCAAACA